GGCAGCUAUGGAGGUGGCUGGAGCUAGAUGAAAGUUUGUCCUUCAUCGUGGGGUCUUACCGAAACCUGUGCUGCCGCGCCCUUCAACAGGUCAGCUGGCAAACUUUCUCCAAUCAACCCGUCCUCAAACCUUCUACCUUUCUUGACUGCAAGGCUGAGCAAUGAACGCAGACAGACCAGCCAUGACGGCACUCCUUCAGCUCUACUCAAGAUGGGAUCAUGAUACAAGAUUGUUGAGGCAUCAUUUCUGAAACGUUACCCUGCUGGAAUAUGUGUAAAAUGGAAUUGCUGCCAGUGGCAACUUUAGCUGAAGAGGAAAUCUACUGUUGCUAAACUUCACCAAAU
rnacentral:lncRNA from 1 species